rnacentral:rRNA from 1 species
AUUGAACGCUGGCGGCAGGCUUAACACAUGCAAGUCGAACGAGUGGCGGACGGGUGAGUAAUGCUUGGGAAUCUAGCUUAUGGAGGGGGAUAACUAUGGGAAACUGUAGCUAAUACCGCGUAACAUAGGAUGAGCCCAAGUGGGAUUAGGUAGUUGGUGAGGUCAAGGCUCACCAAGCCGACGAUCUCUAGCUGGUCUGAGAGGAUGACCAGCCACACUUGGACUUGGACGCGGCCCAAACUCCUACGGGAGGCAGCAGUGGGGAAGAUUGCGCACUGGGGGGAACCUGACUCAGCCAUGCCGCGUGAAUGAAGAAGGCCUUCGGGUUGUAAAGUUCUUUCGGUAGCGAGGCGUUACCUACAGAAGAAGCACCGGCUAACUCCGUGCCAGCAGCCCCGGUAAUAC